GACAGAGGUGCCAAGCGUUAGGCGGAAUCACUGGGCUUAAAGCGUGUGUAGGCGGGUCGUUAAGUACCUUGUGAAAUCCCCCGGCUCAACCGGGGAACGGCUGGGUAUACUGGCGAUCUUGAGCGACCUAGGGGCAGUCGGAACAAGUGGUGGAGCGGUGAAAUGCGUAGAUAUCACUUGGAACGCCAAUGGUGAAAACAGACUGCUGGGGGUUCGCUGACGCUGAGACACGAAAGCCAGGGGAGCAAACGGGG
rnacentral:rRNA from 1 species